rnacentral:rRNA from 1 species
CAAGCAGCGGAGCGUGUGGUUUAAUUCGAUGACACGCGAAAACCUUACCCACCUUUGACAUGUACGGAAUCCUUUAGAGAUAGAGGAGUGCUCGAAAGAGAACCGUAACACAGGUGCUGCAUGGCUGUCGUCAGCUCGUGUCGUGAGAUGUUGGGUUAAGUCCCGCAACGAGCGCAACCCUUGUCAUUAGUUGCUACAUUCAGUUGGGCACUCUAAUGAGACUGCCGGUGACAAACCGGAGGAAGGUGGGGAUGACGUCAAGUCCUCAUGGCCCUUAUAGGUGGGGCUACACACGUCAUACAAUGGAUGGUACAAAGGGUCGCCAACCCGCGAGGGGGAGCCAAUCCCAUAAAGCCAUUCGUAGUCCGGAUCGCAGUCUGCAACUCGACUGCGUGAAGUCGGAAUCGCUAGUAAUCGUGGAUCAGAAUGUCACGGUGAAUACGUUCCCGGGUCUU